rfam:Trichobilharzia regenti genome assembly, scaffold: TRE_scaffold0057580
AUCCAGCUGACGAGUCCCAAAUAUGACGAAAUACGAAUCCUAGAU